CAACAGCAGCAUCAUCAUCAGUGUUUCUAUUUGACGAAAACGGUGCCUACUGUCACGGCAGGCGGCUUUGUCAUGUAAGAAGAGGAUCAUAGGUAAUAUUUAAACGAAAACUAUCCAUUUUCUGUUUAUGAAAGGAAGGAAGGAACCAAGAGACCAAGUUAACAAGACGAUGAUGCUCGUCAUCUAUUUUCUUGGAAUAUUUUCCCAUGAAUCAUGACUGGUGUCGUUUCAUACAGCCUGGAUGGAAUAGCUUACUACUUAGUACGUACUACAGGUUACCUUGAACCGCUCUUGGCGGCAUAACAACAGCGCCUAUUUACACCACAUCAAGUCGUCGUCUGAGGCUUUGAAUAAUUAUUCUGAAGAGCAAACUUGCUGAAUGUUGGGUCGUUUGCUGCCUUUGCCUUUUUAUGAACAAAUUAAACCAAAUCUGCAAAACCAACUCCUCCCUUUUCUUCCCUCAAAUGUCCAGCCAGGCUACACCACUUGUUCUGAAGAUAACCUGUUUUGUUAUAAAUGAUCACUGGUAAUCUGUGAAGGAACAUGUUUUCUAUGGAUCGAGUUAACUUUCCUCAAUAACAUACUCUAGGUAAGUGAUAUAAAAGUGAAGUAAUUACAAUAAGAGAGUGUCCUUAUAUUGAAUCUUGAGUCACUUAAUGACACAAUUGCAUUGUUGACGACCCAGGCUGUGAGUUAUUCACGAUGCACUGACUGACAUUUUUGGCAGCUUUCAUCUUGUUACUUUGAGCUUUUGUUUUAAAUGUUAACAUACCACAAACUGCAGAUAAUCUGUUGUUCCUACACAAUACACAAACCCUCGGCCUUUAUCAUAGGAAUUGUCUUCAGCAAAGCCAUUAAACUUUUAACAAGCUGGUUCAGCAGUUAACUACUGAACAACCGGGUGGGAGUCCCACCCUCCUGGUCGGUAGAGUGUUACUUUACCUUCAGCUGUGAAUGUGCUGCAUGCUGCCCUCAUCCCUGCUUGCCGUUUGCUUCACUUUGUUUGCUUUGCUAAACAUCACUCUUUCCUGGUGGGGUUAGUAUUCUUUUUAUUCAAGGGUCUUACCAAGAAGUUUAUUGAGCUGUAGGAUCCUUACC